GCUUCCGUUUAUCUGCGAGGUCAGAGAAGGCAGGCUGCGCGCGUUACGGUGGUGCUGUUGAAAAACACGAUGAAAAUGGCGUGGCAACCGCAGGAGGAAGGACUCAGGCAAAUCCUGACGCUGCUCAAGGAGUCGCAGAGCCCGGACACGGCGACCCAGCGAGCCGUACAACAAAAAUUGGAAGAGUUGAACAAGUUCCCAGAUUUCAACAACUAUCUGAUUUUUGUCCUAACAAAACUUACAUCAGAAGACGAACCUACUAGAUCCCUGAGUGGACUGAUACUCAAGAAUAAUGUAAAGACUUACUUUCAUAAAUUUCUACCAGAAGUCAUAAUUUUCAUAAAGCAAGAAUGUCUAUCAGCUGUCGGAGACCCAUCGCCGCUGAUUCGUGCGACCGUCGGUAUUUUGAUCACUACUGUCGCAUCAAAAGGUGAAUUAACAACUUGGCCGGAAUUAUUGCCAGCAUUGUGUCAAAUGUUGGAUUCUCAAGAUUACAAUGUUUGCGAAGGAGCAUUUGGUGCUCUACAGAAGAUUUGCGAAGAUUCAGCAGAGAUAUUAGAUUCAGAUGCUCUAAAUCGCCCUUUGAACAUUCUGAUUCCAAAGUUCCUUCAUUUCUUUAGACAUUCGAGUCCCAAGAUCAGAUCUCACGCAAUAGCGUGCGUCAAUCAAUUUAUUAUUCAACGUACACAAGCGCUUAUGAUACAUAUAGAUAGUUUUUUGGAGAACCUCUUCCAUUUGGCUUCAGAUGAUGAUUCUGAAGUCCGAAAAAAUGUCUGCAGGGCACUAGUGAUGUUACUUGAAGUACGAAUGGAUAGAUUAAUACCACACAUACACAACAUAAUAGAAUAUAUGUUAAUGAGAACUCAAGAUGUUGAUGAGGGAGUGGCAUUGGAAGCUUGCGAGUUUUGGCUAUCAUUAGCGGAACAACAAAUUUGCAAAGAAGCGCUUACACCGCAUCUAACUCGAUUAGUACCUAUCCUAGUGAGAGGUAUGAAAUAUUCAGAAAUUGACAUAAUCCUCCUUAAAGGAGAUGUGGAGGAGGAUGAAAUGAUACCAGACAGGGAAGAAGAUAUCCGACCGCGAUUUCAUAAAUCAAAGACGCACCAUUCGCAUCAUGCCAAUGGUAUGGGCAGAAUGGCACAGCACACUGACGAGAAUGGCGGUGUGAAUGGCGACGACGAGGAUUUGGACGUUGAGGACGGAUGUGAUGACGAUUCGACUUUGAGCGACUGGAACUUGAGGAAAUGCUCCGCUGCUGCACUAGAUAUGCUAGCUAAUGUUUUUCGAGAAGAUCUUUUACCAGUUUUGGUACCAAUUCUGAAAGAGACCCUCUUCCAUCAAUCCUGGGAAAUUAAGGAAUCUGGUAUCCUCGCAUUGGGAGCUAUCGCCGAAGGUUGCAUGAACGGCAUGAUUCCGCAUUUAUCGGAGCUUAUUCCUUAUUUGAUCAGUUGUUUGAGUGACAAGAAGGCUCUUGUGCGUGCCAUAACUUGCUGGACAUUGAGUCGUUAUGCGCAUUGGGUUUGUGCACAGCCACAUGAGACACAUUUGAAACCCCUGAUGACAGAAUUGCUCAAACGAGUGCUCGACAGCAACAAACGCGUUCAAGAGGCGGCAUGCUCCGCCUUCGCGACCUUGGAAGAAGAAGCAUGCACUGAAUUGGUUCCUUAUCUCGGAUUUAUUCUUGAAACACUUGUCUUUGCAUUCAGUAAAUAUCAACAUAAAAAUCUUUUAAUAUUAUACGAUGCGAUCGGCACUCUUGCCGAUUCUGUGGGUCAUCAUUUGAACAGACCGGAUUAUAUCAAUCUUUUGAUGCCACCUCUCAUUAAUAAAUGGAAUGUAUUGAAGGACGAGGAUAAAGAUCUAUUUCCAUUACUGGAAUGUCUUUCAUCAGUAGCUACUGCAUUACGUUCAGGUUUCUUACCGUAUUGUGAGCCUGUCUACAGACGAUGCGUGUCACUUGUCGAACAGACGUUGAAUCAACAUAUAGCGAGUACACAAAGUCCAGAGCAAUUUGAGGCGCCUGAUAAAGACUUUAUGAUAGUCGCAUUAGAUCUCCUUAGCGGAUUAGCCGAAGGAUUGGAUGGUCACAUGGAACGUCUGGUAGUGAACAGUAACGUUAUGCAACUGUUAUAUCAGUGUAUGCAAGAUACUAUGCCUGAAGUCAGACAGAGCAGUUUCGCAUUAUUAGGAGAUCUCACAAAAGCUUGCUUCCAACAUGUGCUCCCCUGUAUACCAGAGUUUAUGCCUAUACUUGGACAAAACUUGCACCCACAAUUCAUAUCGGUGUGCAAUAAUGCGACAUGGGCGAUUGGUGAGAUUUCGAUAAAACUUGGGCCUGACACAAGUACAUAUAUCCCAUUAAUUUUGACACAGCUUAUCGAAAUAAUUAAUCGACCAGAUACACCAAAAACACUGUUGGAAAAUACCGGUGCACUUCUUUGCGAAGCAUAAGGGAUAACGAAGAGAAGGACUCUGCCUUCAGGGGUAUGUGUCAAAUGAUUACUGUCAAUCCAGCCGGUGUUGUUCCGGACUUCAUCUUCUUUUGCGACGCCGUAGCGUCUUGGUCAGCACCAAAGGAGGAUUUAAAGGAGAUGUUUCAGAAGAUACUGUUCACGUUUAAAAAUCAAGUGGGCGAGGAAAAUUGGAAGCGAUUUUCUGAUCAGUUUCCGCCACAGCUUAGUGAGCGGCUCCAUAACAUGUACGGCGUCUGAACAGCUCCAUCUAAAAGCG
rnacentral:misc_RNA from 1 species